AGUUUAUUUACCUUUGGCUUCUUAAAAUUUAUAGAAAGAAAUAAUAUAUUUGGGUCCAUAGGUAAACAUGUCCUGUUUCAUACUGAAAAACUAUUCUGCGAGAAAACACGUUUCUAGAAAUUAUGUGUCUUCACAAAAUGUUAGCUCAUGACAGUUCAAAAUCGCUUACUUCCUAGGUUUCGCUGUAGAGUUGCUAAGACUUAAAAUUCUCAUAUAUAAUUAUAUAACUACUAUAAGUGACUCUGUAUGCAAAGUGUACAAGGAAAGUAAGAUGUUAGUGAGGUAUGAAGAUGUGGGGGGGUUUUGUUGAGGAAAAAUAACUUAGUCUAGUUUAUAAGUUGUUGCAGAAUAAAGGAAGGAAGAAAAGAUACAGGUAAAACUGAAUGCAUAUAAAAGUUGGAAAGAGAGAAUCUUUUGUGGUCAAACUGACCAAAAUUGAGUGAAUUUAUUAUGUCUUAAAAAUGAGAGUGAAUUUAUUAUGUCUUAAAAAUGAGCCCUAAUAUCAAGGGUACAUUGAUGCAAAACUAGAAUUUGGCAUUAUCUUUUAAAAUGCAAGAUUUUCUUGUAGUAUUGAUAAAAAAGAGUGAAAGAUUUUCUUUUUCACCUUUUAAGUAAUCUGCCUUAAAAAAUUAUGUCUUAUCAAAAUAAUUUUCUCUUUCAUGUUAUCUUUUAUCAGGCCUUCAAUUACUUUCCAAGAAAAUAAAAUCCUAUUAAGAGAGCUAAUAUAUAUAUUUUUACAACUAUAUAACUUUAUUUGCCUUCAAAGCCUUUUAAUAAUUACCCUGGUGAUUAUGAAAUGAAUAUUAAUAAAUAUUAAAUGCUCAUUAAAUACUUAAAUCAUAAAAUAUUAAAUGAUUAUAAAAUGAACAGUUGAUUAAAUAGGAUCCCAGAUCACUAUAUAAUUCAAUAAUCACUCUGGUAACCAGACUAAUUAUUAGUGACCUAAAUUAAUAGUUACCUGAGAUCCUAUUAAUCAAAUUUUUCCUUUUUUCUUUUCUUAAUUUCAAAAAAUAUGGAAGGCCUCAUGAAUUUGUGAGUUAUCCUUGCACAGGGGCCAUGCUAAUCUUCUCUGCAUCAUUCCAACUUUAGUAUAUGUGCUGCCAAAGCAAGCACUCAUCAAGUGUUUUAAAUCUUUUUUUACAUUUUUGACAAACUUCCUAAAAUCAAAUUCUAAAUUCAGUCUUUUGACCUUGAAUUAACUUUGGAAUUUGCCAGUUGAGCCCCUGGGAAAGCUCAAAAGAUGUGUUUCUCACCUCGAAAAAGAGAGACAUUAGCCAGGCAGGGGCUCAGAGCACUUAAACCUAAAUUCAUCAUAGGAAAGUUGUCCCUUGAAGUUGCCUUUCCUCCCCACGAACAUUUUACAGAGUACUUGCUCCUGGGUGGCAGAGCGACCUUAUCUCAAAAAAAAAAAAAAGAAUAUGCAACAAAAUAUGCAGUUACUUUAAAAGGAGCUUUUUCCAAUAAGGACACUAAAUAAAAUAUGCUUAACAUCAUUAGCUAUCAGGAAAUGCAAAUCAACACCACAGUAAGAUGCCAUUUAACACCCACUAGGACAACUAUAAUCAAAAAGUCAGAUACUAGUAAGUGUUGGUGAGGAUGUGGAGAAAAUGGGACCCUCAUAUACUGCUGGUGGAAAUGUAAGAUCAUACAGCUGAUGGAAAACAGUCUGGCAGUUCUUCAGAUGGUUAAAAAUAGAAUUAUCAUAUGACCCAACAAUUCUACUGCUAGGGUAUAUACCCAAGAGAAUUGAAAACAUAUGUCUACACAGAAUACUUGUACCUGAAUAUUGAUAGCAGCAUUAUUCACAAUAGCCCAAAAGUAUAAACAACCCAAAUGUCCAUCAACUCAUAGAUAAACAAAUGUAAUACAUCCAUACAAUGGAAUAUUAUUUAGCCGAUAAAGGAAUGAAACUCUGAUACAUGCCUGGUGACAGAGUGAGACUCCAUCUCAAAAAAAAAAAGGAAUACAGGCCAGCCACGGUGGCUCACAUGUAUAAUCCCAGUGCUUUCAGAGGCUGAGGCUGGAGGAUCACUUGAGCACAGGAGUUCAAGACCAGCCUGGGCUGGAGUGCAGUGGCAUGAUCUCAGGUUCAAGCGAUUCUCGUGCCUCAGCCUCCCAAGUACCUGGGAUCACAGGCGUGUGCCACCACACCCCGCUAAUUUUUGUAUCUUUAGUAGAGAUGGAGUUUCACCAUGUUGGCCAGGGUAGUCUCGAACUCCUGACCUGAGGUGAUCCGCCCACCUCCGCCUUCCAAAAGUGCUGGGAUUAAACAUGUGAGCCACCGCACCCAGCCGAAUUGUUCACUUUAAAUGAGUGAAUUGUCUGAUACAUGAAUUAUAUCUCAGUAGAGCUGUUUUUCUAAAAGCUCUUUAUGUACUAAUAUAAAACAAUCUCCAAGGUAUAUUAAGUGAAAAAAGCAAAGUGUAAAACUAUUAGAUAUGUAACCAUCUGAGUAAGAAAAUAUAAUUAUGUUUGUAAAUAUACAGAUAUUUCUGGGGGAACUCAUAAAACUCCAGUAACACUGACUGCCUCUGGAGAGGGGAACUGGAUGACUGACGGAUCCAGAGUAGAAGCAGAAUUGUUAUUUUUAAAAUAAGAGAUGCCCAAAAAUACAUAAAAAUUAACACAAUGAAUACCAUGUGCCUACCGCCCAGUUUUAAAAACCAUUACACCAGGCGCAGUGGCUCACACUUCCUUCAGGUGGC
rnacentral:lncRNA from 1 species